GGGGUGGAGUCACGUGCGUUCCGGGCGGACAGGGGCCCGCGGCGCGCGGGUUUGGGGACGAAGACUGGGCUAUCCACUGAUGAGUGUAUGGAACAGUGUACAGUGUAUGCAGUUCUGCCCCAGCUGUUCUGAUCCUCCAGAGGAUCUAGGUGCUGGAGUGUAUAGAAGAGGAAGGUUGCUAGAAAGCCGAGGCCACAGGAAGGAUGUCACCCAUGCUGGCCUGAGACCCUUCUGUGACUCAGCUGUUUGGGGAUGAUGAUCACCUGCACUCCUAUAGUCCUUCAACACCCCAUGAACAUGGACAUACGAGCCUGGGGAGCAGACCCUGUGACCAUGGUGAAGUCACUCUGCCUUUGUGGGCCUCAGUUUCUUCAGAGUGUCUGUCACUGGGUCCUGGAGCUUACCAUUAGACAAGACUGAGAGCCCCACGGAUCACUUGUCUCCACCUCCACAUCACUGGGAUUACAGUACUGAUUUACUUCAGAGAGGAGGAUGGGCAUCGAAGACACUCCGUAUGGAGUUUAUCUUCUUCUUGGCAAAAAAGUCAUUUGGGCAAGAAACUGUUCUUGACUGGACUGCUUGAGAAAGUGUAUCGACUGGAUAUGCAGGACCCAUAGAAAGGUGACCACUGAACUUUGCUUGGCAAAAUGGUCCUUUAGGUUCCUGCUUCACAGAGAAAACUGCCAGACAUUCUACAGGACACAGAGAAAAAUGACUGAGGGACUCUAGGCCUGAGGGCUGAAGACAGAUGCCCCAACUUUACAAGAGAACUUUGGAUGACUGUCCAGGCUGCCAGCUGUCUCUGUCUACCCUGCAAGACUCCCGAAAGUUGCUUGCAUCCUUCUCUCAUUUCUCAGGGGCCUGUCUCCACAUGCUGAGUGAGUCCUUCAAGCUCCCAGAUUGAUUCCCUCCUACCGGCCUAAGAGAGAACGCCCUUGCUCAGAAGCUCAGGUGAGAGUCUCAGGGAACAGUUUUACUAGCUGAAUUUGGAUCCCAUACCCAUGGAUUAGGUGAUCCAGAAAGCCAUGCCAUCAUCGGCCAGUUGUGACUGCAUGCAAGGUAAAAGCCAUGCCAUCAUCGGCCAGCUGUGGCUGCAUGCAGGAUGUGGCAGGAGAGCCUGGGUUGGGCCCAGGAAGGAGGAACACUUCACAACUAAGGUCAGUGACUCAGGGAUCCCCAGGUUUCCAGAAGGGUAGAGGUGGGCUGGAAAGGGCUCAUGGGAGGUAUUGGGGGGUGGCUUCUAUCUGGCCGAGGCCUGUCCCCUAGAAGAAGGUCUCAAAUCCUAAUUUCAUCAAACUGGAAAAGUCAUCUCUCUCUCAAAUGCCAAGAAACUAGCUCACACCGUUUGUGGGGACGAGUUCUACAUCUGAGACUGUCCUCCACUGCCCUUGUCUCGGAAACCACUGGGGACUUGAUUAGGAACCUGGCAGCUGGAGACAGCUCCUGAGUUCAAAUCCCACCCUCUGCCCUGAUGACCUGUGUGACUGUGGGCUUGUUUCUCAAACGCUCUGUGCCUGUGUUCUUUUAUCUGGAAACACACACACACACACACACACACACACACACACACACACACACACACACACAGAGGGAUCCUGAGAUUUCCUGCCUCCUGUGACUACCUCAAGGAUUCAAUGAGGCUCCCAGAGCUGGGUGACCUGUGUGUGUGUGGAGGCUGAGAUCCAGCUCAGCGGGCUGACUCCCAGUUCUGGGCUUUGUUGUGGAAUAUUAUUUUAAGAUGUGUUACAUUCAUUUAUGCUGUGGAACAUUUGUUUAAUGAUGCAAAGAUGUGUUGCAUUCUUUUAUGUUGCAUUUGUUUAACUCUGUGGAGCUGUGUUACUGUGCCUGUCUAACACCUGAUGGUCUAAUAAAGAGCUGAACGGCCAAUAGCAAGGCAGGAGAGAGAAAUAGGCAGGGCUGGCAGGCAGAGAGGAUAUAGAGAAGAAAAAAAGCACGAGCGAUCAAGGAGCAAGACAAGGAGGAGGACUCCAGGCGCCAGCCACCCAGCUACACAGCCAGGCACGGAGUAAGAAGUAAAGAAAAGGUAUACAGAAACAGAUAAGGGUAAGAGCCUAGAGGCAAAAGGUAGAUGGGAUAAUUUAAGAAAAGCUGGCUAGAAAAAAGCCAAGCUAAGGCCAGGCAUUUGUAAGUAAGAAGAAGCCUCCAUGUGUGAUUUAUGAGAGCUGGGUGAUGGGCCCCCCAAAAGAGCUGGGAGCCAUAAGAGCAAAGAAAGCAGCAGCUACAGGGCUCCCUGUUGGGGCGGCAGGGGCUUGCCGAGGGCAUACACGGAUGGUCAGAAGGGAGCCCAUGCUGACUCUGAACCACUGAGGGGUCCUGUCUACUCCCACAUGGGGGAGCUCAGGCCUUCUGUCCUGGACUCAGUUCCCCAGCAGCAGAUCUGGGUGACAUUAGGCUGUGACACACCAUUGUGAUGCCUGGCCACUGUGACCUUCAAAGACUUGCACUGUUCCUGCUUCUCCUCUGUGCCCCAGGCUCCUUUCUCUUCUGGCCAGCUCUAACUGGGAACCACACAAGGACAAUUUGGGAAUACGAUCUGCUCAGUUUAUAUGAAGCAGCACUGCACAGUUCACCCAGUUGUCUGCCCACUUCCUGGUCCUAUUGUCCACAGCUGGGCUGCUGUGCACCUUGGCUUCCGCUCUGUGACUCUCAUCCGCUACAGCUCUGUCCUUUGCAUGCUGCUCUGAGUGUGCAGAGGGUCAUGAUGGGACUCAGGCUCCUGGUUUAUUUGGAGCUGGAUUUUGAGCAGGGUCUUCCUAUUAGUUCAGGCUGGCCCUAGAUUCAUGAUUCUCCUGCUUCUUUUCUUUCUUUUGUUUUUGUUUUUGUUUUUGUUUUUGUUUUUUCGAGACAGGGUUUCUCUGUGUAGCUUUGGAGCCUGUCCUGGAUCUCACUGUAGCCCAGACUAGCCUCGAACUCACAGAGAUCCACCUGCCUCCGCCUCCCGAGUGCUGGGAUUAAAGGCCUGUGUAGUGGGUAGCCAUUCCAACCUUGAUCUGGAAGUUCCAACCCCCAUUGAGGCUUUGGUAACUGUCAUGCCUACAAGGCAGGGCCAAGAGAGGACCUUGAAGACUGGAGAUCCAGAUGCUCCAUCUCUCUUGAUUCCUGGACCCUGGAUGCUGGAGGUAGACCGAGCAGAGUUCUCCAGACAACACCGCCGGACUGCGCUGCGUCUUUCCCAGACCCCGCGACCUACCUAUCCCUUCAUUUGUAAGUUACGCCACUAAAUAAAUCUCCCUUUUAACUA